UACGGAGGGUGCAAGCGUUGUUCGGAAUCAUUGGGCGUAAAGCGCGUGUAGGCGGCCGGGUAAGUCUGAUGUGAAAGCCCGGGGCUCAACCCCGGAAGUGCAUUGGAUACUGCCUGGCUAGAGGGCGAGAGAGGAAAGUGGAAUUCCUGGUGUAGGGGUGAAAUCCGUGGAUAUCAGGAGGAACAUCAGUGGCGAAGGCGACUUUCUGGCUCGUUACUGACGCUGAGACGCGAAAGCGUGGGGAGCAAACAGG
rnacentral:rRNA from 1 species